rnacentral:rRNA from 1 species
AUGGAGGAGCACAAGCCGCUGGCGGCCAUGGUGGUGGUGCAGUGCAUCUACGCGGCCAUGGCGCUGUGGGCCAAGGCCAUGUUCAGCCGCGGCAUGAACCCCAUGGUGUUCGUCGUCUACAGGCAGGCCAUCGCCACCCUUGUCCUCGUCCCCAUCACCGUGCUUGCCAACAGGAAGAGGCUGAAGGAGAUUCUUUGUAUCGGGACGACAGGCUUCGCGCUGGUGUUCUUGGCCUCUCUCGUCGGGGCGACGGCCAAUCAGUACAUGUACUACCAAGGCAUCUACCUGGGAUCAUCGUCCAUGGCGACGGCCAUGACGAACCUGAUACCGGCGAUCACCUUCGUGCUGGCGACGUCAGUAGGUCUAGAAAGCGUGGAGAUCAGGAAGCCGCGAAGCGUGGCCAAGAUAUUCGGCACCGCCGUCUGCGUCGGAGGCGCCAUGGUGAUGACCUUCCUCAAGGGCCCCAAUCUGCUGCACGACUCGCUGGGAGUCGACGGCGCCGGGCUGGACCUCCAAGACCUGCUUCUCAACUCGCCGGCGAGCCGGAAAUGGGUGACCGGCGCGCUGUUCCUCGUCGGCAGCAGCUCCUGCUGGUCGCUGUGGCUCAUCAUACAGGUUCCGAUCUGCAAGUCGUACGUGGAUCCCCUGACGCUGUCGGCCUGGAUGUGCUUCCUGUCCACGGCGCAGAUGGCGUUACUCAACUCCUUCGUGCUGCCGGACCUCGACGCCUGGAAGAUCAACUCGCUCUUCGAGGUCAUGGGCUGCAUCUUCGCCGGCGCGGUUGGGUCAGGCGUGACGUUCUACCUGCAGUCGUGGUGCAUAACGGUGAGGGGCCCGCUCUACUCGGCCAUGUUCAACCCCCUCUGCACCGUCGUCACCACCGUGCUCGCCACCGUCGUCCUCCACGAACAGCCACACGUCGGAAGCUUGUUGGGUGCAUUCGCGGUGGUCGCCGGGCUGUACAUCGUGCUGUGGGGCAAAGCAGGCGACGUCAAGAGCCCAAGGGCGGCGGAGCACGCCGAUGAUCUGGAGAAGACAUGGUCGGACUCGCAGCUCCUCGACGCGGAAAGUACGAUCACCGAGCCGCUCCUAGCGGACGACAACCGGAUCGAGAAGUAG